rnacentral:antisense_RNA from 1 species
CCGUGGGAGGGAAGGCAUUCUCUGUCAAGCUGCUGUCACCUUACCUGAAGUAAGGAGUCCACGCCUGCAUGUCCGAGGAAAACAGUUUUCUCAAACACAUUAGUUGAAAAACUGAAGACACUGCCUAAAAUACAAGCUGAGUUAGAGACAGCCCUUGUAAGACUAGAAAAAGAAAUGAAAACUAAGUAACAUGAAUUAACAUAGUCCAGGGUCACAAAGCAAAAUGGAACAAGAACCUGGAUCUGAAUUCAGAGGCAGAAUGCUGGCUCCUUCAGGAGGUAUCCAAAGGCAUUGUUAUGGUGGGAGAUGACAGCUCCAUGCCUGUUAUUGCCUCUGAAGACCAUGCAGGACACCAUGUGGAGAUAGAAGACGGUGACAUUGAGGAUCCUGACCUUGUGCUGGCCUAGGCUAAUGUGUGUGUGUGUGUCUUAGUUUUUAACAAAAAAGUUUAUAAAGUAAAUAAAUAGAAAAUAGCAUAUAGAAUAAGGAUAUAAAGAAGGGAAA